GAGUUUGAUCGUGGCUCAGGAUGAACGCUGGCGGCGUGCUUAACACAUGCAAGUCGAACGAAGCGCCUUAUUUGAUUUUCUUCGGAACUGAAGAUUUGGUGACUGAGUGGCGGACGGGUGAGUAACGCGUGGGUAACCUGCCCUGUGCAGGGGGGAUAACAAUCAGAAAUGACUGCUAAUACCGCAUAAGACCACAGCACCGCAUGGUGCAGGGGUAAAAAACUCCGGUGGUACAGGAUGGACCCGCGUCUGAUUAGCUGGUUGGUGAGGUAACGGCUCACCAAGGCGACGAUCAGUAGCCGGCUUGAGAGAGUGAACGGCCACAUUGGGACUGAGACACGGCCCAAACUCCUACGGGAGGCAGCAGUGGGGAAUAUUGCACAAUGGGGGAAACCCUGAUGCAGCAACGCCGCGUGAGUGAAGAAGUAUUUCGGUAUGUAAAGCUCUAUCAGCAGGGAAGAAAGUGACGGUACCUGACUAAGAAGCCCGGCUAACUACGUGCAGCAGCCGCCGUAAAACCG
rnacentral:rRNA from 1 species